GACGAACGCUGGCGGCGUGCCUAAUACAUGCAAGUUGAGCGAUGAAGAUUGGUGCUUGCACCAAUUUGAAGAGCAGCGAACGGGUGAGUAACGCGUGGGGAAUCUGCCUUUGAGCGGGGGACAACAUUUGGAAACGAAUGCUAAUACCGCAUAACAACUUUAAACAUAAGUUUUAAGUUUGAAAGAUGCAAUUGCAUCACUCAAAGAUGAUCCCGCGUUGUAUUAGCUAGUUGGUGAGGUAAAGGCUCACCAAGGCGAUGAUACAUAGCCGACCUGAGAGGGGGUGGGGCCACCUGGGGAGGGAAACACGCCCCAAACUCCUACGGGAGGCAGCAGAAGGGAAUCUUCGGAAAUGGAGGAAAGUCUGACCGAACAACGCCGCGUGGGUGAAAAAGGUGUUCGGAUCGGAAAACUGUGUUGGGAGGGAAAAACGUUGGGGGGAGGGGAAAGCCCAUCAAGUGCCGGUAACAACCCAGAAAGGGACGGCUAACUACGG
rnacentral:rRNA from 1 species